ACUUUGCUGAAGUUUCAUAAGUGAGCCUAGGAUACAGCAGAGCUGCGGAGUGCCUCACAGUCAGUGAAAGGAGAAAAAUGCAGUGGAGAGAAGCAGUAGGCAGACAAAGUUGCAACCUUCAAGUACUCCACAUUAAGCAGCAACGGGGACAAAACCAGCCAGCC